rnacentral:rRNA from 1 species
GCGUAGGUGGGCUAGUAAGUCCGUGGUGAAAUCUCCAAGCUUAACUUGGAAACUGCCGUGGAUACUAUUAGUCUUGAAUAUUGUGGAGGUAAGCGGAAUAUGUCAUGUAGCGGUGAAAUGCUUAGAUAUGACAUAGAACACCGAUAGCGAAGGCAGCUUGCUACACAAUCAUUGACACUGAGGCACGAAAGCGUGGGGAUCAAACAGGAUUAGAUACCCUGGUAGUCCACGCCCUAAACGAUGGAUACUCGACAUACGCGAUACACAGUGUGUGUCUGAGCGAAAGCAUUAAGUAUCCCACCUGGGAAGUACGACCGCAAGGUUGAAACUCAAAGGAAUUGG